UUCUGUUAUCUGAAUGCAUUAUAAAUAUUUUAACCUCCUGUAAUGAAAUAUUUAAUAAAAAACGUUACCAACCAAAUCGUUUGCAAUUUUCGAGGGCAUGUUUAGGAUAUGCGCAUCUUUCUAAAUCUAUGUUUAUCAAAUUGGACAAUAUAGCAACUGUGAUUACAAUUAGUAAUAUUCUGAAAUUACUUAUCUUUUAUCUCUUCUAAUAGCUUACAAUGAAAAAACUAUGUGACGCUGUACAAAUUUAUAAAUUCAAAGUUAUAUUGCUAAAGGACAUUAACACGUAAUAUUUGACUUGUUUAAAAACAGCAAUCUGAUUGAACUUAAUGUGAAAUCGUGUAGAAAGAUUCGUGGAAAGAUUUGUAGUUUAAGAAUUAUUCGUAAUCUCUUGAUUUGUACAAAGGAUAUGGCGUAGCAUGAAAUUAACAAAAAAAGAACGUAAUUUUACUUUGUAAAUCCAUUAAUGGAUGUAAUCAUGUUGUAGAAAGGUCGUUAAACCACGCGAAAUACUUUAAUUCCAUUUCCAAUGGAGCUAUAGCUCGAGGCUGUGGACCCAAUUAGCAAAAUCUGCCUGUACAGUAUUUGCGAAUUCGUUAUUAUUAAUUGUUUGCAUUCAACAUUCGCAUGUAAUAUUUGCUACAGAUAGGGAAAGGAAUAAUAUUGAAAUUUUCGAAAUAACACAUAGUCGGCCAGUAACAUUUUAUACAACAAAUUAAUAUUGUUGAUAAUUACACUUCGAUACAUCAAUGCAAAUAAUUGAAAUUUACAAAUCUGUGGACUAGAAAGAGGAAUAGACGCAUAAAAGUACUUAAAAGUGUAGUGACAGAAUGUUCAUAGAAACUAACAAUAAAUUUGAUUGACAUAACGAAGAUGCAGUUCUUUAUUUCGUAAAAUAAAUGAUUUCGUAAAGUCCAAUUUAUAAAUUCUGUUGUACAAUACAAAUACUUUUCCAAUUGCAACUCUUACAUUAUAAAAUUGUUUUCACUCGUAUUGUAUUCACGCAAUUGAUAGUGCGCUAUCGAACAAUUAAUACUGUGACUUUUUAAAGAUCUAAUUUUAUACUGAUAUCGUGCAAGCAACGGUCUCAGCCAUUCGCUUAAAAUAUAUCCAAUGUCGCAAUUAUUAAAUUUCAUUAAUAAGUAUUACUGAAUAGAGUAUUGUGAGUACAAUCGAUCCAUAAGACUCGUUAUGUAACAGUGAGCAUGUAUGGUGCACAGUAAGCAAUACAGAUACCGCAUUAUGGUUCCAUAUGGAAUACAUUCUUCCUGUCACGGUCAGGACAAAUCCUCAUAAAUAAAAACAAUGUAAACUAUGCUUUUUAAUCUUUUCUCGAAAUUUGCAGAUACAGGUAACAGUUUUUCAAAAUAGUACAAAUGGUUCUAAUUCGACCUUUACGUAAUAUUAAUUUUAUUAUUAAGAAAUUGGGACUUCUAUUUUACAACAUUAAAUAAAUAUUACAUUUUAAAUUUGAAUAACAUGUGAUGGCUUGCAAUGAACGUGAUUUGUUUCAGCCGUAAUGGCACCUAAUGGCUACACAUAUGCCUUAUCGACAUUUGUACGGAUGUGGUAUGGUAUUCAAGGAAAUUCGUCAAGUUAUAUUUACACGAAGUCCUGCUUAUGAUGUAGUGUACACAGUAACACUAAUACGAUGGCUGAAAUGUACAGCAGUUUCAGGUCUUAUUCGAUUGUGGUAGAAAAUGGAACAUUAAUUGCUGCAAUUAAAGUGGAACAAACGACAGGAGUACAGCCUAUUGUAUCUGUUAAUUAAAUGUUUGGCAAUUGUUAUCUCUGAAAACUGGACAAGUAACUGCUACAAACAAUAUAUAUUCUAUAUUUUUAUUA